rnacentral:rRNA from 1 species
UACGAAGGGGGCUAGCGUUGCUCGGAAUCACUGGGCGUAAAGGGUGCGUAGGCGGUCUUAUAAGUCAGUGGUGAAAUACGGCAGCUCAACUGUCGAGGUGCCAUUGAUACUGUAGGACUUGAGUACAGACGAGGUAGGCGGAAUUGACGGUGUAGCGGUGAAAUGCUUAGAUAUCGUCAAGAACACCGAUAGCGAAGGCAGCUUACUAGGCUGUAACUGACGCUGAGGCACGAAAGUGUGGGGAUCAAACAGG